AGUAUUAUAUUUUAAUAAAAAAUUUUAAAUUGCAAAUUUAAAGAUAGGUCAUUCCUUAAUACUU
rnacentral:tRNA from 1 species